CAUAGGAAACAAACUCAUUAAUUAAAGAAAUUUCAAUAUUAGAAAGAACAACACUUAGAAAAAAUCAUUCUGUUCCUUGUUUUUGGUUCAACACUCAAUCUUUACCGAUCAAAAACAAAAACUUCGGUGUUGCCUUGAUACUUUGAAAUUUCAACUCAAACAUGGACGUAAACACGACAGCUAGAACGACAUCUAAUCAAACUUCGACUUCAUACUUCGACGCAGUUUUCGACUUCAGUUCGACUCCUACAUAUUCGACUACAAACUUCUCUAGAUUUACAACCGAAUCAAUUAUACAUACGACUUAUAAACCAGAAAAAAUGGAAAAGUACAUUUCAGUACUGAUGGCUACGGUUGGACUUGACACUCUUCAGAUUCCUAUCCUUCUCUUUGUCACAAUUAUCAACGCGUACUGCCUGCUAAUUUUUUUCAAGACGGAUGGGCUGAUGUCACUGGACUAUUUUCUUGUUAUCUGCCAAUGCAUUUGCGAUCUUGUUUUUAACGGUUUGUUUGGAUUUUGUUUCUAUAUUUAUUCGACCUAUCUGUCAAUCUUCUACUUCUGUGGAAGUGGCUCUUUUGUGGA